rnacentral:rRNA from 1 species
CAGUAGCCGCGGUAAUACGUAGGGUGCGAGCGUUAAUCGGAUUUACUGGGCGUAAAGCGUGCGCAGGCGGCCCGUUAAGGCAGGUGUGAAAUCCCUGGGCUCAACCUAGGAAUUGCGCUUGUGACUGGCGGGCUCGAGUACGGUAGAGGGGGGUGGAAUUCCUGGUGUAGCAGUGAAAUGCGUAGAGAUCAGGAGGAACACCGAUGGCGAAGGCAGCCCCCUGGGCCUGUACUGACGCUCAUGCACGAAAGCGUGGGGAGCAAACAGGAUUAGAUACCCCAGUAGUCCCUGUCUCUUAUAC